rnacentral:lncRNA from 1 species
CUUCCCACUAGCGCCCAGAAUGGAGGGGGUGUGGAGAGGAGGGGCCAGGCACUGGGCAGACUUCACUGCAGCUCACAGAGGGACGCUUUGGUAUCCAUCCGCUGCUGCCUCCAGCUCUGCUGCUGCCAACCUCCCGACGUUGCUGUCCCCCUCCCCGCGCAGCCCCGCAGCCCAGAGCCGCCCGCCAGUCCCAUACGGUGUAGCAGCGUGGCAGACACCUUAGUGAUCGGCACCUUAGGGCGCGCCAGGGACUACUGAGGCAGGCCGGCUCUAAGCCUCGCGUCAGACUGCGGCUGGCCCUGGCCCCGCCCACUUCCCUGUCGGAACUAAGGUGGGCCUGGGAGGGGGCGUGGAGCCCUUGCCCGCAGUAUUCCUCCGCCCCCCUUCCCGACACCCUCGGGGCGAAGCGAGUGGUUUUUGCUGCAGCGCAUCCUGCGCAGCAAGGGCGGGUUUGGUGCGGAGGUUUGGGAGCGGGACGCUCCUUUGCAAUUCUGGUCGCGCGGAAAGCGGAAAGCAGAAAGCAGAAAGCGGAAAGCAGAAAGCAGAAAGCAGAAAGCGGUGGGAGCCGAGUGCGGAGCUGCCAGAGGAGAGGAGAGAACAGAAGCAGUCCCUCCAGAAAAUUUCCUGACGUGGCCCAUGGUUAUCUGGGGAGCCUUGAGAGUUCCUGGAGUUAAUUUACAUUGUUCCUGACCAUCACAAAGGUGGUGACUUUUCUCCAGCCUCAGGAUUCUUUUUGGUUGGAAAGAUAGCAUCUCCUGAGAACCCCUGCUUUCUGAGCAUUGACAGUAACUGAGGUAUGAUCUAAGUACACAUGGGGAAGGAGACCAUGCAAAGAUGAUAUUGAAAUAAAAGUGCCUGUUAAGUUUACUACCUCCUUUCUAAAUAUAGUUGCUUAUUCCCUAUUCCUGCACUUUAUGUAUUUGUCCAAGGAAAGAGGCAUAAAGUCUGCUGGGAAAAUGGGUGACUUCAGAAUUGGGAGGAGGUAUAAUCAUACAGAGUGUAGGUCUUAGAGGGGAUGGUUGGGGAAUCAUUGGGGAGGAACAGACAGUUGAGAGACAUUUCACAUAUCCUUGAAUAUACAAAAACACAUUUUAUAACCCCUGUCAAGCAUGUUGAGCCAUCUUAGUCUCUUCUGCAUUUUUUUCUCUGCUUUUCUUCUCUGUUCUAGCUUCCUACAAAGAUCUUCAGGUAGCUGUUCACUUGCAAGUUAAUUAAGAAACAGAACGAAAGUUGUUCAUUUGGAUUCAAGGUGGGUAUGAGUAUGAACAUGAGCACCUGUGUUAAUUAGGGAUAGGAUAACUUCAUGAGUGGGUGAGACCAGAUCGUAUCUUGGAGUCAUUAUCUUCCAAUUUUCCAAACACCUCUGCUUUCUCAUUUGUGUAUUGUUAAUGGGGUCAAAGUAAGCCAGAAUGAUAGGUAAUUCAUAAAUAUAAAGCAGGAAAUGCAGAAGAAGCUAUGGGGAAUACUAAGGCGACCAGAAAAGUGUCACAAAACCAAUACUCUAGGUUUGUUAAGGUAGGUGUUGCAAAAGCAGAGUGCAAAUCAGUGUGUCACUCAGAAUUCUAAUCCUAUGUAUAUUUUUGUCCAUAGGUCAAGCUG